rnacentral:rRNA from 1 species
GGGGAUAAUACCGGAUGUGGUCUCGAAAUCGCAUGGUUUUGAGAUUAAAGGUGACCUCUACUUGUAAGUUAUUGUUUGAGGAGGGGCUUGCGGACCAUUAGCUUGUUGGUGAGGUAACGGCUCACCAAGGCUGUGAUGGUUAGCCGACCUGAGAGGGUGAUCGGCCACAUUGGGACUGAGAUACGGCCCAGACUCCUACGGGAGGCAGCAGUAGGGAAUUUUGCGCAAUGGACGAAAGUCUGACGCAGCGACGCCGCGUGAGCGAUGAAGGUCUUCGGAUCGUAAAGCUCUGUUGAGUGGGAAGAAAAAUUCUAUGGCUAAUAUCCAUAGGACAUGACGGUACCAUUCGAGGAAGCCCCGGCUAACUACGUGCCAGCAGCCGCGGUAAUACGUAGGGGGCAAGCGUUGUUCGGAAUCACUGGGCGUAAAGGGAGUGUAGGCGGGAGGGUAAGUUAGAAGUUAAAUGUACGGGCUCAACCCGUAACCUGCUUUUAAUACUGCUUUUCUUGAGUAUGGGAGAGGGAAACGGAAUUCCAGGUGUAGCGGUGGAAUGCGUAGAUAUCUGGAAGAACACCAGUUGCGAAGGCGGUUUCCUGGCCCAAUACUGACGCUGAGGCUCGAAAGCUAGGGGAGCGAACAGGAUUAGAUACCCUGGUAGUCCUAGCCGUAAACGAUGGACACUAGUUGCUGGAGAAGUCAAUCUCUUCAGUGACGUAGCUAACGCGUUAAGUGUCCCGCCUGGGGAGUACGCUCGCAAGGGUGAAACUCAAAGGAAUUGACGGGGGCCCGCACAAGCGGUGGAGCAUGUGCUUUAAUUCGAUGCAACGCGAAGAACCUUACCUGGGUUUGACAUGGGAGUGAAAGUUUCCAGAGAUGGGAUCCCUUCCGCAAGGAACACUCUACACAGGUGCUGCAUGGUUGUCGUCAGCUCGUGUCGUGAGAUGUUGGGUUAAGUCCCGCAACGAGCGCAACCCCUGUCCUUAGUUGCCAGCGAGUAAUGUCGGGAACUCUAAGGAGACUGCCUGGUGUAACCAGGAGGAAGGUGGGGAUGACGUCAAAUCCUCAUGGCCCUUACGCCCAGGGCUA